GUCGAGCGGUAAGGCCCUUCGGGGUACACGAGCGGCGAACGGGUGAGUAACACGUGAGCAAUCUGCCCUUCUCUUUGGAAUAACCAUUGGAAACGAUGGCUAAUGCCGAAUAUGACCUCCUUUCGCAUGUUUGGAGGUGGAAAGCUCCGGCGGAGAAGGAUGAGCUCGCGGCCUAUCAGCUUGUUGGUGAGGUAAUGGCUCACCAAGGCAUUGACGGGUAGCCGGCCUGAGAGGGUGACCGGCCACACUGGGACUGAGACACGGCCCAGACUCCUACGGGAGGCAGCAGUGGGGAAUAUUGGACAAUGGGCGAAAGCCUGAUCCAGCAACGCCGCGUGAGGGAUGACGGCCUUCGGGUUGUAAACCUCUUUCAGCAGGGACGAAGCGAAAGUGACGGUACCUGCAGAAGAAGGACCGGCCAACUACGUGCCAGCAGCCGCGGUAAUACGUAGGGUCCGAGCGUUGUCCGGAAUUAUUGGGCGUAAAGGGCUCGUAGGCGGUUUGUCGCGUCGGGAGUGAAAACUCAGGGCUCAACCCUGAGCGUGCUUCCGAUACGGGCAGACUAGAGGUAUUCAGGGGAGAACGGAAUUCCUGGUGUAGCGGUGGAAUGCG
rnacentral:rRNA from 1 species